GCGAGCCGUAUACAUUGAAAGGUGUACGUACGGUUCUGAGGGGGGAAUUGUGAAACCGACUGUGGAAACAUAGCACGGCACAUGCUUCCUACCCUAC
rnacentral:ncRNA from 1 species